GAUUGCAUUUAAAAAUUUUCUAUUAAUCUAUAUGAAUAAGGAUCAAAUCCUUACCUGAUUAGUAGCGGAACUAGAGAUCAAAUCUCCAAAAAUCUGAAACAAACCUUCGCGGAGGUCUGGAAGUGCAGACCCUUUACUUCGCAUACACGCCAGACAAUGCAAGAAAGCGGGAUGAACUCCGAUUAAAUCACCUUCGCAACC
rnacentral:lncRNA from 1 species